rnacentral:lncRNA from 1 species
AGCUGAGCCAGUGCUGCAGUGAGCGCAGCGGGAGAUUCGGUGGCUAGCGUAACUACGACAACAAGCGUUGCAAACUUGUACAUGGAGGCUAAAGCAUCUCCACAAUGACAGAGACCAACAUGGAAGAUUAUUUGCGGCGGGCCAAGACAAUGCUGAAGGAGAGCUCAGGCUGUGUGAGUGUCCCGGUCCUGUGUGGUCAGCGAUGUGAUGUGGGCUUGCCAGGGAGACGGUGUGGUACCUUGUGAGGGUGUGUGAGUCUGCUCUGUUGUGGAAAGACGACAUCAACCUACUACAGCUCCACCACAGAGGAAAACUCUCCCUCACUCUGAUGAGGGACGAUGUGCUCAACAGCUCCGACUAUGAAGCUCUGGAGUCCAGCAUCCUCCGAGUGGUCCAUCACCACGAGCAACGGGCAGGAGGGUAGGGGGUGUCGUGCAUGGCGAUGGUGGUCACCAGGGAGAUUCUUCAAGAGGCAGUGGAGCAGAUCUGUGUGCCGCUGGGGGAGCUGCUAGGAGGCCCUGAGGCUGCAGUCAGAGGAGCUGUGGAUCAAAGAUGGCCGUCGCUCAGUGGACCUGGAGGAGCUGCUGAGGGUGUUGCAGGAGAGGAGCGGCUUCUCACCCUAUGAUGACACAACCAGUCCUAACGCUGGCGAGGCCCAGCUUCAAGGUGUGUGUUUAUAGCUGGUAAGGUUAAAGAUGUGGUUAUUUGUGUAGUGUAAUGUCUGUCUGUCUGUCUAAAGGCAGUGUAACUCAUG